rnacentral:rRNA from 1 species
AUUGAACGCUGGCGGCAGGCCUAACACAUGCAAGUCGAGCGGAUGAAGAGAGGUUGCUCUCUGAUUCAGCGGCGGACGGGUGAGUAAUGCCUAGGAAUCUGCCUGGUAGUGGGGGACAACGUUUCGAAAGGAACGCUAAUACCGCAUACGUCCUACGGGAGAAAGCAGGGGACCUUCGGGCCUUGCGCUAUCAGAUGAGCCUAGGUCGGAUUAGCUAGUAGGUGAGGUAAAGGCUCACCUAGGCGACGAUCCGUAACUGGUCUGAGAGGAUGAUCAGGCAAACUGGGACUGAGACACGGUCCAGACUCCUACGGGAGGCAGCAGUGGGGAAUAUUGGACAAUGGGCGAAAGCCUGAUCCAGCCAUGCCGCGUGUGUGAAGAAGGUCUUCGGAUUGUAAAGCACUUUAAGUUGGGAGGAAGGGCAGUAAGUUAAUACCUUGCUGUUUUGACGUUACCAACAGAAUAAGCACCGGCUAACUUCGUGCCAGCAGCCGCGGUAAUAC